AGUUAUUGUAGUAUACAAGGCAGACGGCUCAGUAACACGUAGUCCACCUAACUUAUGGACGGGGAUAACCUCGGGAAACUGAGAAUAAUACCCGAUAGGUCAUGAUGCCUGGAAUGGUUUAUGACUCAAAUAAUUUAUUGCCGUAGGAUGGGACUGCGAGCUAUCAGCUUGUUGGUGAGGUAAUGGCCCACCAAGGCUAUUACAGCUACGGGCUCUGAGAGGAGUAGCCCGGAGAUGGGUACUGAGACAAGGACCCAGGCCCUAUGGGGCGCAGCAGGCGAGAAAACUUUGCAAUGCGCGAAAGCUCGACAAGGUUAAUCUGAGUGGUUCCUGCUAAAGGAACCUUUUGUUAGUCGUAGAACCACUGAUGAAUAAGGGGUGGGCAAGUUCUGGUGUCAGCCGCCGCGGUAAAACCAGCACCUCAAGUGGUCAGGAUGAUUAUUGGGCCUAAAGCAUCCGUAGCCUGUUCUGUAAGUUUUCGGUUAAAUCCAUAAGCUCAACUUAUGGGCUGCCGAAAAUACUGCAGAACUAGGGAGUGGGAGAGGUAGACGGUACUCGGUAGGAAGGGGUAAAAUCCUUUGAUCUAUUAAUGACCACCUGUGGCGAAGGCGGUCUACCAGAACACGUUCGACGGUGAGGGAUGAAAGCUGGGGGAGCAAACCGGAUUAGAUACCCGGGUAGUCCCAGCUGUAAACGAUGCAAACUCGAUGAUGCGUUGGCUUGUUGCUAGCGCAGUGUCGCAGGGAAGCCGUUAAGUUUGCCGCCUGGGAAGUACGUACGCAAGUAUGAAACUCAAAUGAAUUUGACG
rnacentral:rRNA from 1 species